GACGAACGCUGGCGGCGUGCUUAACACAUGCAAGUCGAACGGAAAGGCCCUGCUUUUGUGGGGUGCUCGAGUGGCGAACGGGUGAGUAACACGUGAGUAACCUGCACUUGACUUUGGGAUAACUUCAGGAAACUGGGGCUAAUAUCGGAUAGGAGCUCCUGCUGCAUGGUGGGGGUUGGAAAGUUUCGGCGGUUGGGGAUGGACUAGCGGCUUAUCAGCUUGUUGGUGGGGUAGUGGCUUACCAAGGCUUUGACGGGUAGCCGGCCUUGGAGGGUGACCGGCCACAUGGGGACUGAGAUACGGCCCAGAAUGCUACGGGAGGCAGUAGUGGGGAAUAUUGCGCAAUGGGCGGAAGCCAGAUACAGCAACCCCGCGUGCGGGAUGACGGCCUUCGGGUUGUAAACCGCUUUCGCCUGUGACGAAGCGUGAGUGACGGUAAUGGGUAAAGAAGCACCGGCUAACUACGUG
rnacentral:rRNA from 1 species